rnacentral:rRNA from 1 species
GACGAACGCUGGCGGCGUGCUUAACACAUGCAAGUCGAACGGAAAGGCCCUGCUUUUGUGGGGUGCUCGAGUGGCGAACGGGUGAGUAACACGUGAGUAACCUGCCCUUGACUUUGGGAUAACUUCAGGAAACUGGGGCUAAUACCGGAUAGGAGCUCCUGCUGCAUGGUGGGGGUUGGAAAGUUUCGGCGGUUGGGGAUGGACUCGCGGCUUAUCAGCUUGUUGGUGGGGUAGUGGCUUACCAAGGCUUUGACGGGUAGCCGGCCUGAGAGGGUGACCGGCCACAUUGGGACUGAGAUACGGCCCAGACUCCUACGGGAGGCAGCAGUGGGGAAUAUUGCACAAUGGGCGGAAGCCGGAUGCAGCAACGCCGCGUGCGGGAGGACGGCCUUCGGGUUGUAAACCGCUUUCGCCUGUGACGAAGCGUGAGUGACGGGAAUGGGGAAAGAAGCACCGGCGAACUACGG